UUUUUUUUUUUUGGUCUUGACCAAAUUUUCCACUGUAAGUCUGAAUGCCUUUUAUAAUGAAAGAAAAAGACUUUAAAAUACAGUGUGAAAGUGUGACAAAGUCAUGUGAACACAGAAGAAGAAAACUCAGAGCCGUUAAGUGAGGAAGAGCUUCUCAGAAGAGGCAUCACCUACGCCACGCCAAGCAUGGAAGUUGUUGUUUAGAUUUGGAUCCCAGUAUGAAUCGUACACAAGGCUUAGGAAAGAUGAAAGAAGGAUGGAGAACAAGGACUGAUGAGUUCGGGAUAACGUGAGUGAAAUAUGGUCUCGAUUGCACCCAUCUGUUAAAUGAGGAAGAUGGACGAGGAUGACCUCUAAGUUCUUUCCAGCUUUAACACAUUAUGAGCUUUGCUACAUCUCCCAUCUCAUUGAUACUUUUGCUUUUAGCACCUCACAAUUCGACCCCUCUCUGAAAUACUGCAUUUUCUAUUCAUUCCAUCACUAUUAAUCUAAAAUAUUGGAAUGUCCAACAAAGACGGGCUUUAAAAUAAAGUAUUUAUUAAAUAAAAUAGGAGACAUCCCUAUAACAGAAUCCUAUUGACAGUAUGGCUGGUAACAUAUUGACACUGUCGCUAGAUGGCCACUUAUUAAAGUGGAAAGUUGUUCAUAAGUUAAAAAAAGUUAAAAACCAUGAUAUCAUAGUAAAGGAAACCCUGGAAUAUCUGGAAAGAGAUUCACCAACAUAUGAUUAUCUCCCAAUGGUGGGAUUAUGAGUGACUUUUUCUUUCUGGAUUAAUGCAUUUUCUAAUAUUUUUACAAUGAACAUAGAUUACUUAUGCUAUAAAACAGGAGAGAAAUAAAAGACUGCAUCUCAAAUCAUCCUAAAAAGAUUGCUUGGGCUAUUCUUAAACUUUCUAUGGAAAGUGAUUCCUUGCCCUCCAUUUAUCCAUUCAAGGCUUCUUACUGACUUCACAGCGAGGCUGCAGAUUUCCACUUGACCCAGAAUUGGUCCUCCGGUUUGCAUCAGCUCCACCUUCGCUAAGUCUCUCCCCAAACACUGCCUCUUCCCAUUUCUUCUGGACUGGAUCCAGUCAGCUUCUUCUAGGUUCCAUCUUGUGUCAUAGAGAUGAAAAUAGGCUAAAAGCUCUAUUCCCAGACUUCUCUGAGGCUGUGGUUCAAUUUAGGUUCUGCAGUGAGAUGCUCUCGCAUGAAGAUUAGAAGGCAGGAGGAGACAAGAUGCUAUCUUCCUGCAGUGUUGCUGCUUAACACUGACACUGACACCGGCUGCAGCAGCCCAGCUCUACCAGCUCACGUGUGGUGGGUGGCUCUGGAGUGGCCAGACUGGUGGCAGUACAGUCUUGGCAGUUUCCUGAUCUCUGCAUCACAACUACUGUAGUGUGACCUUGAAGCCAAAAGAACCCCUGACUUAUUCCUCCAGUCCUUCCAAUGAUACUGUAGGCACCUAAUUCCCUGUGUUUCAUCUCUUUCUGCUUGACAUGCCUGGAGUGGUUUAUUUUUCCUGCAUUGAAACCUGAGAGACACAUCAUCCAGGCAGAGUCUAUUGGCCAUGUAAAGCCUGGUUCACAUCCCGUCUUCUCCAUGAAGACGUCACUGAAGAGUGUGUAGAUCUACCUAAUACUAGACUA